UCAUUGUAGAAAAACCUAAAUACGUAUAAUUACAGCCUCUCAAGAAGAACAGAACCUUGUUCACCCACAGCCGCCGGAGAUCUUUGCCGAAGGAGACGAUACAAGUCAAGGUGUUUGAAAUCUGGUGGAUUGAGCCGAGGAUUAAAGAAAUUGUAGGGAAAAUUUUACUGUGUGUUAGGGGAGGCAAAUUGAAACCGUAAAUUACAUCGUUGGGCUGUUUUGAUCGGGACCUAACAGGAGGUUGAGGAGACGCAGUAGACAUUUAGCUUUAUUUGCACUGCUAUCAAGGUGAGAAUGCGGAUGGCGGCCAGCAUCCCGAGGCGUGAGCGGUUUCCCAUGGAUACGGAUGGGGUUUAUGGGUAGAGUAGGGUUUAAUUGUCAAGACUUCCGCAUGUUUAGUUUGUAAAGACUUAUUUGAUUAUGUCUUUAAUAUUGUUCUUUAGGAGUUGGACUUUACUUUGGAAUCAAUAAAUGAAUUUUUAGAUUA